UGCCUUACGUUACAUUUGCAUACAACACUGCUGUUCAAGAAACUACUGGGUUCACUCCUUUCUGUUUACUCAACGGCCAUGAGGCAACCACCAUGCUGGACGCCAGGCUCCUCCCUGAACAAUACGACAUUACCAUUGGCACAGAGGAAUUUACCCGGCUCACAGACGCAGCUCGCAAGCUUGCACACAAGCGAAUCCAGAAUCGGCAAUCCAUAGACUCCUAGAAGUAUAACGCUCGCCAUCGCGAUGUUGUCUACCAACCCAGUGAUCAAGUUUGGGUAUGGACCUCGAUUCGCCAAUGCAGCCAGUUGGAAAAGUUACUGCACAGCUACUUCGGCUCUUACAGAGUCAUCCGUCGCCUCAGCAAGGUGAACUAAGAAGUUCUCCCUGAAGACACCAAUCGGCGAUCCUAUCUCGUGCACCCUACAGAUAUUGUGCAUGUUUCCAGGAUGAAACCGUACCACUCAUCUUGAUGAGACCAUUCUCACUUCCACUCGCCUUGAUCCCUCUUGUGUGACACUUUCCUCUUCACAAACUUUUAUCUGUGUUGCCUUGUAUGUGCUUUGUUUCUUUCCCUCUAUUUCACAUUUGAAGCACCAAGACGAUGCUUUCUGGAAGGGGGGUAAUGUCAUGAGCGCAGUUGGCUGUGUAGUGGGUUUGCCGCUUCUGCAGAAGCUGAGGGCGAUGACGAUGAAGACACACUCUCAGUGAAGGUGUCGAACGGGAGCUGUCUGCUUCCAUUUGAUUAAGCUCAACAGUUCUUCAUCUAUUGCAAUACCACAACCAUUCCACAAGCCAGCGGAAGAAAGACUAAAUAAAAGAAACAAAGCAAACAUUUGCAGA
rnacentral:lncRNA from 1 species